rnacentral:rRNA from 1 species
UACGUAGGGUGCAAGCGUUGUCCGGAAUUAUUGGGCGUAAAGAGCUCGUAGGCGGUUUGUCGCGUCGGCUGUGAAAGCCCGGAGCUCAACUCCGGGUCUGCAGUCGAUACGGGCAGACUUGAGUGUUGCAGGGGAGACUGGAAUUCCUGGUGUAGCGGUGAAAUGCGCAGAUAUCAGGAGGAACACCAGCGGCGAAGGCGGCGCUCUGGGCCGGAACUGACGCUGAGGAGCGAAAGCGUGGGUAGCAAACAGG